GCCUGGUUAGCUCAGUUGGUAGAACAUGAGACUCUUACUCUCAGGGUCAUGGGUUCAAGCCCCAUCUUGGGUG